rnacentral:rRNA from 1 species
AACCUGGUUGAUCCUGCCAGUAGUCAUAUGCUUGUCUCAAAGACUAAGCCAUGCAUGUCUAAGUAUAAGUAUUAUACAGCGAAACUGCGAAUGGCUCAUUAAAACAGUUAUAAUUUAUUUGAUAAUCGAAUUUACAUGGAUAACCGUGGUAAUUCUAGAGCUAAUACAUGCUGGUAGGCCCGACUUUUUGGAAGGGCGGUAUUUAUUAGAUAACAAACCAAUAUUCCUCUGGUCUAUUGUGGUGAAUCAUAAUAACUGAUCGAAUCGCAAGGUUUUUAACCGCGAUAAGUCAUUCAAGUUUCUGCCCCAUCAGCUUUCGAUGGUAGUGUAUUGGACUACCAUGGCUUUUACGGGUAACGGAGGAUUAGGGUUCGAUUCCGGAGAGGGAGCCUGAGAAACGGCUACCACAUCUAAGGAAGGCAGCAGGCGCGUAAAUUACCCAAUCCUGACUCAGGGAGGUAGUGACAAGAAAUAACGGACCGAAGCCUUCGGGCUUCGGGAUUGCAAUGAGCCGAAUUUA